rnacentral:rRNA from 1 species
UAGGGAAUCUUCCACAAUGGGCGGAAGCCUGAUGGAGCAACGCCGCGUGUGUGAUGAAGGGUUUCGGCUCGUAAAACACUGUUGUAAGAGAAGAAUGACAUUGAGAGUAACUGUUCAAUGUGUGACGGUAUCUUACCAGAAAGGAACGGCUAAAUACGUGCCAC